CGCAUUGAAAGCAAUGUCGCAAGUGAGGUAAUCUUCACACAACCCAUGUAAUACAUAAGGGAAAGAGAUACAUAGUUGGCUUACAAUCGCCACUUCACACAAUUACAUAAAUAAAGCAUUACAUCAUCCAGAUACAAUCAAGGUCCGACUACGGAACCAAAAUAAAAGAAGAACUCCACAUGCGACAAAGGUCCCCGAUCGACCCCAACUGGGCUCCACUACUGAGCAACUAGAACGAAACAACACAAAGGGCAAGAUCUUCAUCGAGCUCCUCCUUGAGCUUGGUUGCGUCACCUGCUCGGUAACAUAGGCACCUGCAAACUGGUUUUGGAAGUAUCUGUGAGCCACGGGGACUCAGCAAUCUCGCACCCGCGAGAUCAAGACUAUUUAAGCUUAUGGGUAAGGUAAAGGUAUGAGGUGGAGCUGCAGCAAGUGACUAGCAUAUAUGGUGGCUAACAUACGCAAAUGAGAGCGAGAAGAGAAGGCAAAGCACGGUCGAUAAAGGUAUGAUCAAGAAGUGAUCCUGGACUACCUACGUCAAGCAUAACUCCAACAACCGUGUUCACUCUCCGGACUCCGCCGGAAAGAGACCAUCACGGUUACACACGCGGUUGAUGUAUUUUAAUUAAGGUCAACUUCGGGUUUUCUACAACCGGACGUUAACAAAUUCCCAUCUGCCCAUAACCGCGGGCACGGCUUUCGAAAGAUAAUACCCUGCAGCGGUGUCCCAACUUAGCCCAUGACAAGCUCUCACGGUCAACGAAGGAAUAGACCUCCACCCGAGACAUUCCGAUCAGACUCGGUAUCCCGGUACAACAAGACAUUUCGACAGGGUAAAACUAAACCAGCAACACCGCCCGAAUGUGCCGACAAAUCCCGAUAGGAGCUGCACAUAUCUCUUUCUCAGGGCACACUCAGAUGAGACUAGCUACGAGUAAAACCAACCCUCAAGUUUCCCCGAGGUGGCCCCGCAGGCAGCUCAGUUCGGACCAACACUCAGAGGAGCACUGGCCCGGGGGGGUUAGAAUAAAGAUGACCCUUGAGUCUGCAGAACCCAAGGGAAGGUGGUAGGUUGUUAGCGCAAAUGGUAAAACCAAUGUUGGGCAUUGCUGGAGGAGCUUUACUUAAGGCGAACUGUCAAGGGGUUCCCAUUAUAGCCCAACCGUGUAAGGAACGCAAAAUCCGGGAACAUAACACCGAUAUGACGGAAACUAGGGCGGCAAGAGUGGAACAAAACACCAGGCAUAAGGCCGAGCCUUCCACCCUUUACCAAGUAUAUAGAUGCAUUAAUUAAGUAAGAUAUAUUGUGAUAUCCCAACAAGUAAACAUGUUCCAACCAGGAACAACAUCUCCAUGUUCCAACAAGGAACAAACUUCAAUCUUCACCUGCAACUAACAACGCUAUAAGAGGGGCUGAGCAAAGCGGUAACAUAGCCAAUCAACGGUUUGCUAGGACAUGGUGGGUUAGAGGUUUGACAUGGCAAUUUGGGAGGCUGACAAGCAAAUGGUAGGCAUCGUAGCAUUGGCAUAGCAAGAGCGAGCAAACUAGCAUAGCAAAGAUAGUAGUGAUUUCGAGGGUAUGAUCAUCUUGCCUGAGAUCCCGCAAGGAAGAAGAACGAAUCCAAGAAGAAGACAAACGGUCGUAGUUGAACGGAUCCUCACAAAUGCGACGUUAUCGGAACCAACCCGAAGAAGCAAUCACCGGAAAAGAAGCACACAACAUAGUAAAUAACCAACACAUCAACAUGGCAUGAUGCACAAACGAGUAUGAUGCAUGUCCGGUUUAAUGAAGCAUGGCAUGGCAAAGUGCAACAAACAAUACUACAAGUUAAAUGGAGCUCAAUAUGCAACGAGGUGCAUGUUGACGGAACACCACAUCAAUUAUUUAGUUCUCUCUCGGUUAUGCUAUCCAACAAUAUUAACUGUUAUUAAACAUGGCAAGAGGUGAGGCAUAAUUAAACUAACAAUACCAUCUAAACAAUUUAAAUGGGGCCGGAUAUAAAAACAACAAAUCCGGUAAAUCCCCAUAUGCAUUUAGCAAUUUAAAGCAACACCAAUUUUAAGCAUUUUAAUUGUUAUUAUCAUGAUGCAGAUGACAUAUACCAGUUUAUGCAAUUUUUAUGAAAAUGUUGACAUAAGCAUGUUAUGAAGCAUUUGGUCACCAUGGCGGAACAAAAAGGGUGCCACGGCGGCGAAACAAAAAUGGUGCCACGGCAACAUUCCGGUUCCGGUAGCUCAUGGAGAUACCGGUGCAAAAGGAGGCGUGCGGAUGUGCGCAACAUGCUAGAGAUGGUGGGGUGCUCCCGACUACCGGGUUCCCACGGGACGGUGGCACGGCAAAAGAGGGGCAUCGCAAGGACGAUUCGAUCACGGUGCAAAACUCGAGCAUCUCAUUCAACACAUGCAAUCGGUCCACGGCGAUCGUUCUCGGCGGUUAUAACUUCGAAGCGUGCAUUUUUGGAGCGGUUCGAGUCGUCGAGGGAAGUAGACGUUCACGGGCGUUGUGGAAGUAGUGGUACACGUUCGUUUUCGGAGAGGUACUUGACGAAUCCAACAUCUUCGGGGCGACGGUAGUGGUUCACGGCGAAAUGCACGUCGACGGUAGUCGUUCUAGGCAGGAAACAGUAGUUGUACACAGGUCUUCGGCGUCGAGGUACUUGGCGUUCCAAAACAGAGCAACACCAAAAGGCCUAGGGUCUUGGCGAUGUAGAUGAACACGAGGUCCGGCCCGGGGCUGGUCUUGGCCUUGGCGUUCCUGGUCGAUGAGGGCGAGCGGAGGCGCAUCCUCCUCCCUGCUCGAACAAGGCAGAGGCGGGGCAUGGGGCUGCUCCUGCAAAGGGGCGACGGGAGCCGGACGGUGGCGCUCGGGGAUGGCUGAGGCGGAACCAGAUGGCGAGGCGGCAAGCUUGGCGCGGGCGCCGGGGCCGCCGGAGUUGGCCGAGCUCGGGGACGAGCUCCUGGCUGGCAAGGGGAGCGAGGAGCGCGGGACGGCAGCCAUCAGCGGCUCCUGUGGCCGGCGGGCGGAGGUCCAGGAGAGGUGGAGAAGUGGUGGCGCGGGCGAGGAGGAGGCCGCAGGUGAGGGAGGAGGCGGCUCUGGUCGGUGGGUCGAGGGACUUGGCCGGCGGCGCGGCUCGAUGCAGAAGGGGCCCGAGCGAAGCUGCUCCAUGGCGAGGCGACGGCGUAGGAGGAGGUCGGGCAGGGCUUGGCGCGCAGAGCUUGGCGGCGACCAUGGCGCCAUGGGGAUCGGGCUGUGAGGCCAUGGCGAAGGAGAGGCGAGCUCCUGGCGCUGGCUGCGGGGUGCUAUGCGGGUGUGUGUGUGCGCGGCGGCGGUAGGAAACAGAGGAGGAGAGGGAUCGAGGGAGGAGCGAGACGAGGGAGAGAUCGAUGUGCGGGGCUUCUCCCUGGCGGCGGUGGACGAACGAGGGAGUGAGGGGAGAUGCGAGGGGAUUGGGCUAGGUUAGAGGGUUAGGUGGGCCGGGGAAGUGGGCCUUGGAGCCGGCUAGGUUAGAUGCAGCUGGGCCCAAAUGGCCUGCUGGGCUCCCUUCUCUCCCUCUCUUGAUUCUACUCUUAACAAAAACAGAGACAAAAAAAUAGGAGAAAGGAAAAGAGAGAAGAGAAGGUUAGAGGAAGAAUUUGGGCACGGAGAUAAUUUUUCCGGACUCGCAAAAAUGAGUUUGUUCCGAGAAAAAUAGAAAGGCCAUGAUUGAAAGAUUAAAUUCAAACUCAUUUGAAAUUCAAAUGGGUUUGAACUAGGAUAGGUUUUUCGAAGUGCCCAAAAAUGUUGAGAAAUUAGGUGAAGCUCCGGAAAAUGAUGAGAGGACAAGUGGCAAAGUUAGAGGCCAAGAGUUGAAAUAAUAAAAGGCAUUGGGAUUUUUGCAAGUGUGUUAAGGUAAUUCCACAUAAUGGGAAUAAUUACUAUAGCUCUCUACAUAUCGAGAGGAUAAGUUGUAAAGAGAAUCACCAUGUGAAAUCCCUCGAUUUAAAUGGAUCGAAGAUCCAUACGAUUUAUUUAGUUGAGUUUUUUUUUAAAAAUGACAUGAUGGCAUGAUGCAAUGCAAAUGAUGCAACAAACAAAACAAAUCACACGACGAAACUCGGAGUAGCUGGAAGUCUUCUGGAGCGUCGGUCUCGGGGCGUUACAACACUCCACCACUACAAGAGGAUCUCGUCCCGAGAUCUAGGAUGGCACCGGAGAGAAACGGAAGAGGAAGAGAAGAGGUAAAACUAAGUUGCUUCUUCGACAAAAGAGUGAAACCAAAGAACCUUGAGAGGUUGAAAAAAUUGAAAGAAAGAAUACAAAGGAGAUGAACGAGAUUGCAAACAAUCCGUUAGAAAGAGGAACAAGGAACAUUACGAGAACUUGAAGGUUGCAAAGCUAUGAAUGACGAGUACAAUGGACAAGAAGGAAUUGAAAUCACUCUGGUUGAAACGAGAUAAACAAGGAACAACGAAGAUCAAAAUCGGACAGCACUCCGGUUGAAAAGAGAUGCAAGACUUCAUAAGAUGAAAAAGAACUUGAAAGAAAAAGGCAGGACACUCCGGUUAAAACUAGAUAGAGAAGGAAUAAGAUUGAUAUAAUUUGGGCAGCACUCCGACUGAAAGAAGGAAAACUUGAUAAAAAUGAAAAGAACUUGAAGAGAUGACACAACACUCCGGUUAACUGGAUAAGCAAGAAAAGAAGACCAUCCUCACCAAACGAGGUGAUGUGUGAAGAGCAUAACAUCACAAUGCCUCCGUAACGAAAGAAUAGAAGUUAGACCGUUGGGAUAAAGGGACGGAGAAGAAAAUGACAACUUCUACCACAAUUGAAUUUGGAAGAGCCUCCUUAAAAAGAAGGAUUGAACGGAGUUGUUGGAAAACCAACAACGAAACGAAAAGAAUAAGCUUGUAGUGGUCUUAUGGAAACAUCUCAAAAUUAUGAGGUGACAAACGGCCACUAACGGAAACAAUUGCUUGAGAUUAACGAAGAGAUGAACACUUCUUCCACCAAGAUGAUAAAGAGAUAACUUGGAUCAUUGGCAAGCACCACAAAUAGCAACAUACCUUAGGGAAGGCUUUAGGUGGAAUAUAACUCAAGAUAAUUCCAACGAAUAGGUUGAUGGAUUUAAAAUAUCUCAUUCUUGACAACAUGUGAGUCAUGAAACAUGAAUGAAACUGUCAAAAUGACAUAACACCACCUCAAAAGAUAAGGUCGAAAGAAUUGCACUCCGGAUUACAAGAAGCUGCUUAAGCUCCUUAAAAGAAUCUCGAUGAAAACUUCAAGAAGGAAAUAAAUCCUUGAUGAACCAUGAUGUAGAACCUCCAUGAAGAACUCCGGUAACAAAAAGAUGAUCCAAUGGAAGGAAAAAGAAGUUGAAAACACAAGGUGAAACCUUGCAGUGAUUUAGAUGGAUCUCCGUGAUAAUUAGAGCUUGGAACUCCGGGAAAAAGAGAAGAUGAAACAAAUGAAACCGAGAAUUUUAAGGGCCUCCGGAAUAAAGAAUUAAUCACUUGGAUGAACAAGAAUAAGAAUUAUGUUAUGCUUAUCCUUCACCAAUUAAAUUGAUGACAAUCAACGGAUUUGGCAUACUACUUAUUCUUGUAGAAAUGAUUAAAAGAGAUAUAUCAAAACUUGAGAAGGUCUUCAACGAACCACCGGUAGGAUUGGAACAACAAAUGAAUUGAUAUGAUGAACAAGGAAGAGAGAUCUUGAAAGAACCACGGUAAAAAUUGAAAAGGACGAAUAAAAGGUAACGAAUCACCGGAAGAAUUUGCAAAUGAACGAGGAUGCUUGAGAGGAUUUAGAUACAUGAGAGCGCAGAGAUCACGAGCUGAUUAGAGAUCACUUGAUGCACCGGUAAAAUUGGAGAGUGAUAACUGAAAGCUGAGAAUGAAUAAUCCCGAAAUGAUGGCCUUCAGAGAAUCAAACUGAAAAGACUCCUGAAUUUGCACCGGAUGGAUAAAAAGAAUAUCUCACAAUCGCAAAUAAUUAUGAGAGGAUGGCAACAAGCUAGAAUCACGAAUCUCUGAGAGAGCGGAUAGAUAUGGAGGAAAAAUCUUCAUCGGUCUUCAAUAUCUGAGAAUGACGAUGAGAAACACCACCAAGAAUUAUUUAGACACUCCGGAAGAAUCCAAACGAAGAGGUUGAGCCAACGGUGAAGAGAAUUUGAAAGAUCUUGGAGAAAACAUUUGACUGAUGAUAAAUCAUUCUUACGUCAAACUUGGAGAAGAAUUUAGGAUAGCUCUGGGAAAAUAGAAGAGUCAGGUAAGAUCCUGGGAAAAGACCUGUGGGUUAGGGCCCACUCAAAAGAACACCGUUGAACAAUUUGAAGAGAGAUAAUGCACCGGUUGAAUUAAAUGACUUGAAUGAGAUACCAAUCUCGAAAGAGCUUGAACGAAUGCAGAGUGGAAACACGAAUCUUCGAGAUAUCUUGAGCACUCCAGAACAAUUUAAUAGCGAGAGAUGGAUGAUUAAGAGGUGCACCGGCAUAAGAAAAGCAUUGGAGAAAAAAAAGAAAAGGAGUAUGCUUAAUACCAAAGCUUGAAUUAAAUCCACCGGAGAAGAAAAGAACGAGGAAUGACGAACUUGAAGCUCCAUUAGAAUCUUCAUGAGAAUCACCGGAUAAGAACAUUGACGGAAAAGAAUGGAGAAACUUCCCAUCAAUAAAAUGGAUACUUGAAGAAGAAAUCUUAGUCCUUGAAGAAAAACAAAAGGGAGGGAGGGUGGGAAAAACAAAGGCAACUUGGAGACGGAUGAAACAAACACCGUUGAGAAGAAGUGAUAAAUGAUCUUGCAAAUGUUGACGUGAACGGAUCCACUUGAGGAGAGACACACCGGUUGAAAAGGAUUGACAUGACAAUCUCGAUUGUCGAGAAGGAUUGGUAUUCACAUCGGAGUAUGAGAACACCAUUUCGGAAAGGUAUGGAAUCAACACUUGACAUUGAAGCAACUCGAAUACCACAACUCAAAACAAAAACAAAGGAUUGGCUUGCAAAAUAAGCCAGAACAAACAUAUGAUAGAGAUUUCGUCCGAAGUUUUCGUGGUGGGGCCUACACGGGCUCGAGUGUACAGCACCAUCAUGUACAAGGCAGUGCACAUGACAUACGAAGCGUCCCCGAGUCAGCAUAGCCAAGGACUCUUUAAGACACAACGAGACCACUAUAAAAUCGACCGUGAAUAGGCGGACCACUAGACGUCGAACCCCAAUUUCAUAUCAUACAUCUGUCGGAAAGAUAUCCUAAGAGCUACUUGAAUUCCCACCUAUGAAACUCCCGAAAUUUUCCGGUUAUGCAAUCAGGUGUUGGGGAUACAGGGGAAGCAUAAUAUCUCACCCAAACUAGCAAAUCCUACAUCCAGCUGUAUCCAUCCUUCAACACAUAACCAAGAAACCUUCGGAAAUCAUCUACCUCAACCUUCGAAAAUCAUCCGUUAUACAAGUCAUGGCAAUACUCCCGUACUCACCUCAGUACUGGGUUAUCGGGGUUAUCUCACCAACAACUGCAUAAAAGAGAUUUUCGAUGUCGGCGUACUAAACUCAGGUAUUCCAGAACUGCAACGAUAAAAUUAUGACGACAACACCUCAGAGCUCAACUCCCCGGGACACUUCCACUAAACCCCUGACAGGAGGCACCAAGACAAUGUUCUCAUCAUAAAACCAUCGGAACGAUUCCAAGAUACCCGCGUGAUCCUAAAAAAAUUUUUAGUGAAAUUUGAGAAGAGAAGAGUCAAAACUCUACGUCAGGAUGCCUUACCAGAGCGAUGAAGAGACUGGGGAGUAAAAAGAAUUCCUAACUCUCCGAUAUAUAUAUAAUCCUAAAUGACUCAAAAUAUUUUUCUAGACACAACUCGGCCGCUAAAAACGAUCAAGCAGUGGGGCUCCUAAGGUCGGGGAAGGCUCUGAUUACCAACUUAUAACGCCCUCGAUGCGGCUAUAUCUCCCACGUGUCGAAGCACGACUUAGAGGCAUAACCGCAUUGAAAGCAAUGUCACAAGUGAGGUAAUCUUCACACAACCCAUGUAAUACAUAAGGGAAAGAGAUACAUAGUUGGCUUACAAUCGCCACUUCACACAAUUACAUAAAUAAAGCAUUACAUCAUCCAGAUACAAUCAAGGUCCGACUACGGAACCAAAAUAAAAGAAGAACUCCACAUGCGACAAAGGUCCCCGAUCGACCCCAACUGGGCUCCACUACUGAGCAACUAGAACGAAACAACACAAAGGGCAAGAUCUUCAUCGAGCUCCUCCUUGAGCUUGGUUGCGUCACCUGCUCGGUAACAUAGGCACCUGCAAACUGGUUUUGGAAGUAUCUG
rnacentral:lncRNA from 1 species